rnacentral:lncRNA from 1 species
UGAAAACUAAGAAAUUAAACAUUCUUAUUUUUUUAUGUAAAUCAAGAAAUUUAGUCUAUAAAAUCUGAUGUGACAAUUGUUUACAUAGGAAAACUAUUCAGAUAUAAUACAUAGAUAAUGUUAUAUCAAGAGCUUCAACGCUUCACAAAAAUACACAUUUUGAUUGUGCAUGGUGGAAGCUACCCACUUAGCCAGGCAAGAAUUGCAGAACAGGCAGUAGUUAAGAUCUCUUAUUAGUUAUUGCACCAGAAUCAUAUUAGAUUUUAAUAGCCAAUCAGGUACGUUGGCCAUAAUUGCCUCCAUGUGGGUCAUCUAGAGGCGUAUAAUCUGCAUCAAGCAUCCUGGCAUUCUUCUCUGUAUACCAACCAAGACUACAAAUUAAUAUCAUGUCAUUUAAAUAAUUAAAUUUAUAAGCACCAACAGAUUAAAAAUUAUAAUACCUGUGACUAGAAGCCUGGCAUUCCUUAUCUGAUGCCUAGAUGCAGCAGCAGAGGCCAGGAGUGCCAGCACGAAGAUGAAGAGAAUCACCCACAAGUACAAAACCUUCUUACAAGCCAUUAAUUCUUGUCGGAUCACAAGCACAUAUCUGAGCUGCUGUGCUGAGCUGUGUAUAUAUACACAUG